rnacentral:rRNA from 1 species
AGUGAACGCUGGCGGUAGGCCUAACACAUGCAAGUCGAACGGCAGCACAGUAAGAGCUUGCUCUUACGGGUGGCGAGUGGCGGACGGGUGAGGAAUACAUCGGAAUCUACUUUUUCGUGGGGGAUAACGUAGGGAAACUUACGCUAAUACCGCAUACGACCUACGGGUGAAAGCAGGGGAUCUUCGGACCUUGCGCGAUUGAAUGAGCCGAUGUCGGAUUAGCUAGUUGGCGGGGUAAAGGCCCACCAAGGCGACGAUCCGUAGCUGGUCUGAGAGGAUGAUCAGCCACACUGGAACUGAGACACGGUCCAGACUCCUACGGGAGGCAGCAGUGGGGAAUCUUGGACAAUGGGCGCAAGCCUGAUCCAGCCAUACCGCGUGGGUGAAGAAGGCCUUCUGGUUGUAAAGCCCUUUUGUUGGGAAGGAAAAGCAGCAGGUUAAUACCCCGCUGUUCUGACGGUACCCAAAGAAUAAGCACCGGCUAACUUCGUG